AAUUAAUCAUGAAUGAGGAUAGUAAUUUUUAAUUUUUGUGUGCAUGAGAAAAACACUCAACAGAUUUGACAAUUAGAGCAGGGUAACAGCAUUGCAUGGCACAAUGUGAAGUAGUUUUUCCCAGUGGUUUUUGAGAGGGAGCUAAACAGAUGUGCUCAAAUAUUUACAAGUGCACAAUAUUCACAUGCUUUUCAAAUGCUGACCCUGCUGAUUCGGAAAAGUCUGCUUCAAUCUGGAGACCAGCUACUGCGGUGACAUGGGCUAUUUAUCAUAGGUAACACAGCGGCGCUACUGCCAGCUCCCAGCGUACUUGUGUGCAGUUAUCUCCUACUCCGUUGACGGUGUUACACCUCCUCCGCAGCUCAUCUGUGUCACCAAGUUGUCAUGAGGCAGCCCUGGCAGCAAGCUGGGCAUCCGGGUGGCUCAGCCCAGCUCCCUGCUUCAGUAGCCAAAGGAGAGCCAGAAAAUGACAGGCUCACUAAGAUCAACCCGAGAGCAGGCUUGGGCUCUGCAAGAGGAUGUGAGUGGUUGCCUUGAGACUCCCUGGCUGCCUUGCACCAGUCCUGCUCUUCAGAGAGUGCUGCCUGGCAGAGAUUCACCCUGGACAAGGGUGGUGAAAAUGCCUGAUUCCUGCUUCUCCUUGUCCUGCCUGACCUGCCAAUAUCCAGACUGA
rnacentral:lncRNA from 1 species